GUGCUGGCUUUGGCAGCACAUGUACUAAAAUUGGAAUGAUACAGAAAAGAUUAGUGUGGGUCUUGCUCAAGAAUAACAUCCAAAUCCAUGAAGCAUUUCAUAUUUUU
ensembl:snRNA U6 U6 spliceosomal RNA